AACUUUUUGAAGUCCGCUUACCUCUCUAAGUUUAAAAAUUCAUCUGAUUACUUUUAUUCAGCAGUUCCAAGAUGGAAAUUGAAAAUGACAUUGCUUCGACUAAAAAUGAUGGAGAAACUCAGCGGGUGAGGCAGCAUCUAUGGAGCGAAGGAAAUAGGCGACAUUUCGGGUCGAGACCCUUCUUCAGACUUAAAUCAUUCGAUGCUGGAGAUUGGAAAGGAACCUGCAGAUGCUGCCUGCCCCGCUGAGUUACUCCAGCAUUUUGUGUCUACCCUCAAUGAAAUUCCUACUUGCAGCAUCAGCGCACCAGGCCCUGUGAUGCUGCUGCAAGUAAGAAUUUCAUUUUUCCCAUUGUCGGAAAAUAUGACAAUUAAACACAAAUGAAAUGUUAACUGUCUGAUUUGCUCUUGAGUUGAAGUUAAUUGGAUAAAUUUGAAACAUAUUCAAC